GAAGAGCCCAAGAUUGAAAGCUGGCGUCUUCGGCGUCCGCAUUGUAAUCUCAAGAAGUGUUUUCCGCUUCGGACCAAGCCUAAGUCCCCUGGAAAGGGGCAUCAUAGAGGGUGAUAAUCCCGUACAUGGCUUGGAGCGCCCGAGGCUUUGUGAUACGCUUUCUAAGAGUCGAGUUGUUUGGGAAUGCAGCUCAAAAUGGGUGGUAAAUGCCAUCUAAGGCUAAAUAUUGGGGAGAGACCGAUAGCGAACAAGUACAGUGAUGGAAAGAUGAAAAGAACUUUGAAAAGAGAGUUAAACAGUACGUGAAAUUGCCAAAAGGGAAGGGUAGGAGGUCAGAGAUGCGGCCUGGGAUUCAGCCUUGCUUUUGCUUGGUGUUUUUCCCAGAUUGCAGGCCAACGUCGGUUUUGGGCACUGGAGAAGGGUAGGAGGAACGUGGCACCUCUCGGGGUGUGUUAUAGCCUCCUACUGGAUACAGCGACCGAGACCGAGGACAGCAGCGUACUCGCAAGAGCGGGCCUUCGGGCACCUUUACGCUUAGGGCGUUGGCAUAAUGGCCCUCUACCACCCGUCUUGA
rnacentral:rRNA from 1 species